AAAAAAACAUGUGUCAAAAAAAGAAAAUUUUGACUGUUUUCAUUUUCCACAUAAAUUUUUUUUACUCUCAUAAAAAUUUUAAACGGUUCAAGAGCUCAAACAACUCGAAUAUUCCCUACCCGACGCCACUUCGAUAAUGAUUUUUCUAGAUAGCAAAUACCCACACAAGAAUACCAACUUCUAUGGCAAUGUAUUUAACAGAUGGUUAGCAAUGUACAUUACCUGUGGAGAUAAGGCAGCUGCAGGAACCUAUAAGGGGAUAUAGAAUGAAAACGGAAGGACUCAAAGCGAUACCAAAAGGUGCUUAUUAGAAAUAUAUAUCCAGAUUCUCUUCUCAAAAAUGAUGUUUUGAGUGACUUAAAAUAAAAUAUAAGUGAAAAAGGAAGAUGUUGAAGCUUCUUAGCAAGCUUUAGCAAUACAUAUGAACAUAUGUAGAGCUAGACAAGUAUAUACUCAAACUAAAUGGCUUUUCAUAAUAAAUCACAGUAGAAAUUGAUAUUCAAUUAAGAACUUAUUGUCUCUAAUGGUUUCCUGUAGUUGGCUGUGGUUUAUGUAAUCAGAAGUUAAAAAGAGUUGCAUACAUAUUUGUCAAAAAGCAAAAGUAACAAAAAAGAUAAAGAGUUUGACGUCGUUUAUUCAAAACAGAUUUGCAUGUUUCAUUAACUAAAAAUAAUUAUGUCCAUACACUAAGAAAAUUUACGAAACACUUCGAUUUCAUUUGCAUAAAAUUAUACAAAUUGUUCAAAGCGAAUUUCGCAUUUUGGAAUUCAACGGUUGGUUUUGAAUUUGGUGUAUGCAUAAAUAUGUAUAUAUAAUUUCUAUUGAUUUUUUUUUGCUUGUUUUAUCAACCUGUUCUAAACUAAUUGUAAAUUUUAACCAAUUAUAUUGGCCAUUUGACAGGCAAAGCAAAACUAGCGAACAAAAAAAAAAAAAA